rnacentral:rRNA from 1 species
UACGGAAGGCAGCAGUGGGGAAUAUUGCACAAUGGGCGCAAGCCUGAUGCAGCCAUGCCGCGUGUAUGAAGAAGGCCUUCGGGUUGUAAAGUACUUUCAGUCGUGAGGAAGGUGUUAAGGUUAAUAACCUUAGCAAUUGACGUUAGCGACAGAAGAAGCACCGGCUAACUCCGUGCCAGCAGCCGCGGUAAUACGGAGGGUGCGAGCGUUAAUCGGAAUUACUGGGCGUAAAGGGCACGCAGGCGGUUAAUUAAGUUGGAUGUGAAAUCCCCGGGCUUAACCUGGGAAUGGCAUUCAAGACUGGUUAGCUAGAGUCUUGUAGAGGGGGGUUAGAAUUCCAUGUGUAGCGGUGAAAUGCGUAGAGAUGUGAAGGAAUACCGGUGGCGAAGGCGGCCCCUGGGACAAAGACUGACGCUCAUGUGCGAAAGCGUGGGGAGCAAACAGGGAUUAGAUACC